GUACCCUACGGGAGGCAGCAGUUAGGAAUAUUCGGCAAUGGGGGAAACCCUGACCGAGCAAUGCCGCGUGUGAGAUGAAGGCCCUAUGGGUUGUAAAUCACUUUUAUUUGGGAAGAACUGUAAGUAGAGGAAAUGAUACUUACUUGACGGUACCUUUUGAAUAAGCCCCGGCUAACUACGUGCCAGCAGCCGCGGUAAUACGGAGGAUGCGAGCGUUAUCCGGAUUUAUUGGGUUUAAAGGGUGCGUAGGCGGAGUGUCAAGUCAGCGGUAAAAUUUCGGGGCUCAACCCCGUCGUGCCGUUGAA
rnacentral:rRNA from 1 species